CUCCUACGGGAGGCUGCAGUGGGGAAUUUUGGACAAUGGGCGCAAGCCUGAUCCAGCCAUGCCGCGUGCAGGAUGAAGGCCUUCGGGUUGUAAACUGCUUUUGUACGGAACGAAAAGGUUCUUUUUAAUAAAGAGAGCUCAUGACGGUACCGUAAGAAUAAGCACCGGCUAACUACGUGCCAGCAGCCGCGGUAAUACGUAGGGUGCAAGCGUUAAUCGGAAUUACUGGGCGUAAAGCGUGCGCAGGCGGUGAUGUAAGACAGUUGUGAAAUCCCCGGGCUCAACCUGGGAACUGCAAUUGUGACUGCAUCGCUGGAGUGCGGCAGAGGGGGAUGGAAUUCCGCGUGUAGCAGUGAAAUGCGUAGAUAUGCGGAGGAACACCGAUGGCGAAGGCAAUCCCCUGGGCCUGCACUGACGCUCAUGCACGAAAGCGUGGGGAGCAAACAGGAUUAGAUACCCUGGUAGUCCACGCCCUAAACGAUGUCAACUGGUUGUUGGGAAUUCACUUUCUCAGUAACGAAGCUAACGCGUGAAGUGACC
rnacentral:rRNA from 1 species